GAAAAGCCCGCUCGCCGGAAGACCAAGGGUUCCUGUCCAACGUUAAUCGGGGCAGGGUGAGUCGACCCCUAAGGCGAGGCCGAAAGGCGUAGUCGAUGGGAAACGGGUUAAUAUUCCCGUACUUGGUGUUACUGCGAAGGGGGGACGGAGAAGGCUAUGUUGGCCGGGCGACGGUUGUCCCGGUUUAAGCGUGUAGGUGUGUGUUCCAGGUAAAUCCGGUUCACUUUAACACUGAGGCGUGAUGACGAGGCACUACGGUGCUGAAGCAACAAAUGCCCUGCUUCCAGGAAAAGCCUCUAAGCAUCAGGUAACAUCAAAUCGUACCCCAAACCGACACAGGUGGUCAGGUAGAGAAUACCAAGGCGCUUGAGAGAACUCGGGUGAAGGAACUAGGCAAAAUGGUGCCGUAACUUCGGGAGAAGGCACGCUGACAC
rnacentral:rRNA from 2 species